CCUACGGGAGGCAGCAGUGGGGGAUAUUGCACAAUGGGGGGAACCCUGAUGCAGCGACGCCGCGUGGGUGAAGAAGCGCCUCGGCGCGUAAAGCCCUGUCAGCAGGGAAGAAAAUGACGGUACCUGAAGAAGAAGCCCCGGCUAACUACGUGCCAGCAGCCGCGGUAAUACGUAGGGGGCAAGCGUUAUCCGGAUUGACUGGGUGGAAAGGGGGCGCAGACGGCGAUGCAAGCCAGGAGUGAAAGCCCGGGGCCCAACCCCGGGACUGCUCUUGGAACUGCGUGGCUGGAGUGCAGGAGGGGCAGGCGGAAUUCCUGGUGUAGCGGUGAAAUGCGUAGAUAUCAGGAGGAACACCGGUGGCGAAGGCGGCCUGCUGGACUGCAACUGACGUUGAGGCCCGAAAGCGUGGGGAGCAAACAGGAUUAGAUACCCUAGUAGUC
rnacentral:rRNA from 1 species